rnacentral:rRNA from 1 species
ACGCUGGCGGCACGCCUAACACAUGCAAGUCGAACGCAGUAGCAAUACUGAGUGGCGAACGGGUGAGUAUAAUGUGGGUAUCUGCCUUUUGGUUUGGAAUAACAUGAGGAAACUUGUGCUAAUACCGGAUAAGCCCUUACGGGGAAAGUUUUAACGCCAAAAGAUGAGCCCGCACUUGAUUAGCUAGUUGGUAAGGUAAUGGCUUACCAAGGCUACGAUCAAUAGCUGAUCUGAGAGGAUGAUCAGCCACAUUGGGACUGAGACACGGCCCAGACUCCUACGGGAGGCAGCAGUGGGGAAUCUUGCACAAUGGGGGAAACCCUGAUGCAGCGAUGCCGCGUGAGUGAAGAAGGCCUUUGGGUUGUAAAGCUCUUUCGUCGGGGAAGAAAAUGACUGUACCCGAAUAAGAAGGUCCGGCUAACUUCGUGCCAGCAGCCGCGGUAAUACGAAGGGACCUAGCGUAGUUCGGAAUUACUGGGCUUAAAGAGCUCGUAGGUGGUUAGAAAAGUUGGUGGUGAAAUCCCAAGGCUUAACCUUGGAACUGCCACCAAAACUUUUUGACUAGAGUGUGAUAGAGGAAAGUGGAAUUUCUAGUGUAGAGGUGAAAUUCGUAGAUAUUAGAAAGAACACCAAUUGCGAAGGCAACUUUCUGGAUCAUUACUGACACUGAGGAGCGAAAGCAUGGGUAGCGAAGAGGAUUAGAUACCCUCGUAGUCCAUGCCGUAAACGAUGUGUGCUAGACGUUGGAAAUUUAGUUUUCAGUGUCGCAGCGAAAGCGUUAAGCACACCGCCUGGGGAGUACGACCGCA